AUACGUAGGGAGCGAGCGUUGUCCGGAAUUACUGGGCGUAAAGGGCGCGUAGGCGGCGCUUCAAGUCGUCUGUCAAAUGGGAGGGCUUAACCCUUUUUCGCAGACGAAACUGGAGAGCUUGAGAAGCAGAGAGGCAAACAGAAUUCCUGGUGUAGCGGGGAAAUGCGUAGAUAUCAGGAAGAAUACCAGUGGCGAAGGCGGUUUGCUGGCUGCAUACUGACGCUGAAGCGCGAAAGCCAGGGGAGCGAACGGGAUUAGAUACCCCGGUAGUCCUGGCAGUAAACGAUGUAUGCUGGGUGUGAGACUAGCGAUAGUUUCGUGCCGAAGUUAACGCGAUAAGCAUACCGCCUGGGGAGUACGGUCGCAAGAUUGAAACUCAAAGGAAUUGACGGGG
rnacentral:rRNA from 1 species